CCUCAAAUAAGGGAAAAACUGCAACAGAAUUUUCUGAGCUCUCAUCUCCACUGGGAACCGGACAAGGUGACGUCGUGUUUCUUGGCUGUCUCUCUGUUGCAGCUCAUGCCAUGUAGUACUCGCAAUAAUCCCCCAGCGACUGUAGCUUUUUGAUAUGACAGUGUUGGUGUUAUCCUGCUGUAGCUGUACAGAUGCUCCGUGCUGGUGAGAUGCUGUUUCUCUUGGCUCAUAUCUCUCUGGGCCGUGUACAAGCCCUUUGCCUCACUCCGCUCUUGGGUAGGGACAAUGAGCACAGAACCAUUGUGAUGUUCCCUCAAUUUCCUUGAAAUUCAAUGUUUUUGUUAUGAAGCAUACCGAAGAGCUGGGCUGGAGGACAUGCAUGGUGCCCUGCUGACUCUGUCUUGAAAAACCCCAGCUUGAUGAGAGCAAGGGACCAUCCUUUCUUCUUCCUAAGUGUGGGACAACCUGCGUUUUCCUUGAACGGUGGAAAGGAGAAGUUCCAGCUGCAUCGGUCAAGCAGCAGUCGAAAUGUUGCCCUUUUGAACCUGGCAUCUGACUUGGCUGCCAUGUCCACUGAGUAAUCUUUAACAGAGGUCAGAGAGGAGGUCUCUAUGGCUGCCAUAAACAUCUCGGAGAGCUGCGGAUGUUUAGAGCUGCCUAUGCCCUGGUAAAAUGAGGCUUGGUGGUUAGCAGUGGAGGGUCAUCAUCCAGAGGACAAGCACGGAAGAGGCACUGGGGACUUCUGAUGUGAACGACUGUGAGAAGAACAAGUGUGAAAACAACUGAUUGGGGUACGUAGAUUUUGCUGUUAGUGAGAGAAAAUAUUAAUCCCACUUGUUUCAGGGAUAGCAUGUAAAGUCUCUUCAGUAUCAGUCUUUCUGUUGAAUACACUUCCAGAAAAUAUUUUGUGUUUCAGGGACUGGGUUCCUCAGCAGGUUUUCUCUUUUGAGAGCUUACACUGAAUGCUCUGAAAUUGCGAGAGCAAUCUCAACAGCUGGUGUGUGGGCUCCACGCUCUGGUUUCAUUCAUUCACCCACCAACCCUGUACAGCGACAGCACACUGUCCAAGAGCCAAACACUAUUUCUUCUGCAAUUCCCAAUAUCCUGACAAAUGCAGGGAGCCGAUGCUCUGCAAGCCCGGGAACCCUGGAGGUGUGCAUGUAUUUGUUUUUCAUGGUAUGUACCAGGCAGUAACUCAAAAUAGAUAGCAGGAAACGUAGCAGGUUGGUAGCGGAAAGACAGUGUCUGUUUGUAAAGACCAACCAUUCCAGUGCUCGUACGGCAUCUGAGGACAUGCUUCAAUGAAGAGGAAUGAGCUAUUUGAAGGAAAAAAACCAAAAAAAAUCAUAUUCACAUUUCAUGAAAGGAGUUUGAAAAACACCUGCUUGACAGAGCCAGUGACUCAGGCCAAGGUUUAAAAUACUUCAAAAUCAGGACAAGAAACAGAGGGGGGGUGUGACCCUGACAGACACUGUUAGUCAAAGAAGAAAUUAUCUUGCACCGAGGUGCAGGUGCACCUGUUAGAUGACCCACACUGACACAUAACUGAUGUACAUUCCUUUCUUUAUGUUUUUUUCCCCGGCGUAGUUUACAUACUUAAAAAUACAAACUUGAGUGAUAAAAAUCACUCAGCCUUUAAGUGAACAUCCAAAAUUCCAUAAAUUAGGCCAGCCAGGAAUAUGUUUGCUGUUCAUAUAAGGAUGUAUGAUAAAAAUUUCUAUGGAUAGAAUUUUUGUGCCUGUCUCAUAUAACAUACAGACGUUUAUCUUGAAAUACUAUUUACUUGUUAUUCCUACAUUUAUUUCUGAGUUUAUUAUCUAAGCAGUUUUUUCUAUUAUUUGGAAAGUGAAGCCUUCAUUGUAAACAAUCCUUCUGUGUAAGUUUUUUUUGACAGCUCAUUAGGUCUGUGAAGUUGCAUCUUUAUGGGACAUAUUUAUGAGGUACUUCCAGAUGUAAGUGGGAAAGAAAAAGCAGAUGAAGCAAUGAUUUAUAUAUUUUUUUUCCUUUCUUAAGAGACACCACAAAAUUAUCAGGAUUUUUUAAGAGACGCAAUACUUGCCAUGUUUUGGACACCACCCAGAAACCUUUCAGUGCAGAGCUUUGGAAAUAUCUCGAGCCUCUUAGAAAACCAUAUGUUUAUUUUAUCCUAUAGACCAAACAAAUAAUUUUCAGGUUUAAAGCAUGUGAUAAUGGGAAAGAAGAAAAACACAGAAAAUUAUAAACACAUCUGAGAACUCUAGUGAGAUACUGUACCAAGGUUGGUAAUACCUUUUCCUAUUUCCAUGUCUCACUCUUGCCUGAGCAACCAAGGAAAGCGUUCCUAAUCCUCUUGCAGUUUCCUGUAUCAUGGGUCAGCGGAGUGUUGGCUAGUAACGUGAUUAUGGCUCUUUUCCUUUUCCCAACUAAGAGAAACAAGACAUGAAAGAGAAAGAUUGAAUGAAGACCAAAAUAGCCAGUACUAAUUCAUUUUUCCCCCAAAUGGGUGAACACUUGCUGCAUAAUUGCAGUUAUGUUCAAGGCCAUCAGCAUUACUACACUGUGAAAAUGUCAGAGCUUCCAGGUGAAUGUGGUUUAUGGGCUGUUUUGCCCGAUUUCUUUCUACAAGGCCAUUUUCUGAGCACAUGGGUUUAUACAGCUUUUAAUGCGAUGUUCAGCCAGUGCUGCUUCACAACUGAUUCAGUCAGCACUUUGGCUGAUUGAUAACUCCUUUUUUGUUGGAUUGCGCUCUAUUAAAUAAUACUGAAAGGUUAGUAUAUAUCUUCAACCCUCAUUGAUUUUCUGUUAAAUGAAAGUGAGUUAACUCCUUUUAGCCAACGUUGGUUGGAAAGAUAAAAAUUCUUCCACCAUCAACCAUAAUUUCAGAUCUGUCUUCAGAACACUUCACCUGAAAAAAGGUUUUAAAACUAUGAUUUGCAUGUUAAGAUUAAAAAAAGAACACCACUGAGGAGAUAGUGCUGGGUGCUCGUGUCACCUCUCUGAAGUUAGUGAGACUGAGCAAGAGGUUAUUUAUACUCCACACAAAACUAGGAUCUUAGAAAGUGGAGCUGAGCACUUGCAAAUCCAGCUGAAAUAAACAGCAGCUGAGGCUAAUCGCUUUGAGAUAUCAGGCUUUUAACCUUUAACGUGCACAGGUCCUUUUUAGCAGGCCACAUAACAAACAGCUGAAGCAGAGAUACAAACAUUACUUAUUUUUGAGGCUUAAUGAAUCAACAAAAAAGGUCAGUUCUCAAUUCCAAAUGUAAUUUUCUCCCCUUUUAAAGUAUGUUUUAUAUACUUGAAUAAAGAUGAAGGAAAUUAUAAUACCAUUGAAGGUACCCAGCUCUGUUUGAGCUGUCUUGGCUGCUGCUUUCAUUUGAAGUGACAUUGCUGGUUUUGAACUUGCACCCUUUAAAAACUGAGAGUGCGAAGAAAUUGAAUUAAGUUGUGCCUCUGGGAUUUGAGGUAAGUUCAGAAUGUUUUUUCAGAUAACACAUUAGUUCCACAGCUCUAUUAUAAAACUAAGUGAUGGAUAACUUGUUUUGAUGUUGUAACAUAUGGCCCCCAAUCUUCAGAGAUGUCUGUACAUCGCUUUGUGCACGAGUCACCCUACUGAACUUAAUAGGGCUAUUCACAUGCUUGACGUUAAGCAUGUAUGCAAAUCUUUGCAAGACUGGAACCUAAUGUGAUUAUAAUAAGCCAAUUCCAGUGCGAACCUAAGAGUAUGAAGUUUCAAAACUGAGGUCAAAAUGAGAGUUUGCAAAAGUUUGUCAUAUU